UGACUGAAUGAACCAGUUAUGAACUCCUCAUUCAUCACUGAAGUCAAGAGAACACCUAUCCUGCUUGGGAAUGAAGAGACAGGUCAGAGCCGUAAAACUGAGUUUCGGGAGAGAGCUGAGCUGCAAAAAGAGGGCAGAGUGGCGUUUUUCUCCUCUUCUAUCCUUGUGUGUUUACAGAAGCACCAUUACAGAGCUCAUAUGAAAAAAUAGCCUGGUGUGUUGUAGAGCCCAUUACCUGAUCAUGAAUGCAUUAAAGUCACCUAACAGAAA